rnacentral:rRNA from 1 species
AGUCACUGACAUUAGAUACCCGUGUAGUCCCAGCCGUAAACAAUGUGCGUUAGGUGUGUCGGUAACCACGCGUUACUGAUGCGCCGAAGAGAAACCGUGAAACGUGCCGCCUGGGAAGUACGGUCGCAAGGCUGAAACUUAAAGGAAUUGGCGGGGGAGCACCGCAACGGGAGGAGCGUGCGGUUUAAUUGGAUUCAACACCGUAAACUCACCAGGAAAGACUGUUACAUGAAGGCCGAGAUGAAGACUCUGCUAGAUUUUCAG